AACGGCCGCGGUAUCCUGACCGUGCGAAGGUAGCGUAAUCAUUUGUCUUUUAAAUAGAGACCUGUAUGAAUGGCAUAACGAGGGUUUAACUGUCUCCUUCCCCUAGUCAAUGAAAUUGAUCUGCCCGUGCAGAAGCGGACAUAAAUACAUAAGACGAGAAGACCCUAUGGAGCUUUAGACAAAAGAUCAAACAUGUAAAGAAACCAAGUUAACCAAAAGGAACACAAAGGCCACGAAACCCGACGUAAACUGAUCCAAAUGUCUUCGGUUGGGGCGACCAUGGGGGAGAAAAAAGCCCCCACGAGGAACAGGGACUAAUCCCUAAGCCAAGAGAGGCAUCUCUAAGCAACAGAAAAUCUGACCAAAAGUGACCCAGAAUACUAAUUCUGAUCAACGAACCAAGUUACCCUAGGGAUAACAGCGCAAUCCUUUCCCAGAGUCCAUAUCGACGAAAGGGUUUACGACCUCGAUGUUGGAUCAGGACAUCCUAAUGGUGCAGCCGCUAUUAAGGGUUCGUUU
rnacentral:rRNA from 1 species